UCACUAUACAGGACUCGCAGAUAACAUGGCAACGAAUCAACUACAGUAUCCCUAAUUCGCAAAGGUUUUUUUUUUUUUUUUUUCUUUUCUCUAAUUCUUCAUGCAUAAACCCUAAAAAAUGGCGGAGUCAGUGACACUCAAGAACAUACUCAGGGCUCACACAGACUCUUAUCGGUAAUAAUGGCUAUGUUGAUACCGUUGCGGUUUCUCCUGAUGGUUCGCUCCGUGCUAGCGGUGGCAAAGACGGUGCUAUUCUCUUGUGGGAUUUGGAUGAGGGAAAGAAGCUGAUAUGAGGGUUGUUGAUUUGAGGAUUGCUGCUGAGGGCAAUGCUACUCAGGCCAAUGCUGGCAAGAAUAAGGAUAUCUACUGCACAAGUUUGAAAUGGAGUGCUGAUGGAAGCACACUAUUUAGUGGAUACACUUACGGAGUUGUCAGAGUUUGGUCUAAUAGCCGUUUUUAAGAAACAGAGCUGGCCUAUCAGUUAAUAACACUUCAGCUCCCUUAUAUUAUCUAGCUAGUUUGGGAUACCUGAUUAUUAUUUAUAACAUUUGAGAUUAUGUUGUUGCCUCAACUCGUUAACUACAAGAUGUUCAUCUGACUGCUAUUUGGUAUAUAACUAUUGCAAGGAAUGAUGCUUUUGGAUAAUUUUCAGACUUUGACGUGAAAUACCUUGUUCAUAUUGGAACAGGAAGAUUCUUUACAAGUUCUUUGAGGAGUCAUUUGCCGUGUUUGGUAAGCUUUUUUUGCCUGAUUUUUGAUUUAUUAGUUAGAAUCAGCUUAUUAUAUGACACUCAGUUCUACGUAGAAAAAAAAAGCUCUGGACUCUCAUAGAUGCCCUUGAACUGAGAUCUGCAUUGCAGAAUGUGAAUUAGUAGCAUGGUUUUACCUGCUCCUAUCAUAUGUUCGGAAUCUAGUUGAUGCUUUGAACUAAACAUUAUACAUUAUAAUGAAUUGAAACAUGCAGUUUGGACCUUUCAUAUAUCAGAAAGUAUAAGCAUCUGUUGGGCUUUAGUUUCUUAGUCCCCAAUUGAAGCUUUACCGUUUUCUUAGUUUUCCGAAAAUAUUAUUUUUGUAAGAGCAUCUCCAACAC